rfam:TPA: Bos taurus chromosome 6, whole genome shotgun sequence.
UCCCUGGUGGUCUAGUGGAUAAGACUCUAUGUUCCCAAUGAAGGGGCCCGGGCUCAAUCCCUGGUCAGGGAA